rnacentral:rRNA from 1 species
UACGAAGGGGGGCUAGCGUUGCUCGGAAUCACUGGGCGUAAAGCGCACGUAGGCGGCUUUUUAAGUCAGGGGUGAAAUCCCGGAGCUCAACUCCGGAACUGCCUUUGAUACUGAAAAGCUUGAGUUCGGGAGAGGUGAGUGGAACUGCGAGUGUAGAGGUGAAAUUCGUAGAUAUUCGCAAGAACACCAGUGGCGAAGGCGGCUCACUGGCCCGAGUACUGACGCUGAGGUGCGAAAGCGUGGGGAGCAAACAGG